rnacentral:rRNA from 1 species
GAUGAACGCUAGCUACAGGCUUAACACAUGCAAGUCGAGGGGAAACGGCAUUGAGUGCUUGCACUCUUUGGACGUCGACCGGCGCACGGGUGAGUAACGCGUAUCCAACCUUCCCAUUACUGUGGGAUAACCUGCCGAAAGGCAGACUAAUACCGCAUAGUCUUCGUUGACGGCACCAGAUAUGAAGUAAAGAUUUAUCGGUAAUGGAUGGGGAUGCGUCUGAUUAGCUUGUUGGCGGGGUAACGGCCCACCAAGGCGACGAUCAGUAGGGGUUCUGAGAGGAAGGUCCCCCACAUUGGAACUGAGACACGGUCCAAACUCCUACGGGAGGCAGCAGUGAGGAAUAUUGGUCAAUGGACGGAAGUCUGAACCAGCCAAGUAGCGUGCAGGAUGACGGCCCUAUGGGUUGUAAACUGCUUUUGUAUGGGGAUAAAGUUAGGGACGUGUCCCUAUUUGCAGGUACCAUACGAAUAAGGACCGGCUAAUUCCGUGCCAGCAGCCGCGGUAAUACGGAAGGUCCAGGCGUUAUCCGGAUUUAUUGGGUUUAAAGGGAGCGUAGGCUGGAGAUUAAGUGUGUUGUGAAAUGUAGACGCUCAACGUCUGAAUUGCAGCGCAUACUGGUUUCCUUUGAGUACGCACGACGUUGGCGGAAUUCGUCGUGUAGCGGUGAAAUGCUCAGAUAUGACAAAAAACUCCGAUUGCGAAAGGGAGCUGAGGGGUCGAACUGACGCUUUAUGUUCGAAGUGGGGGAUAGAACAGG